UCUCCCCACCGGCUUGCCCCAUGGAUGAGCUCCUCCCUGCCCUAGAGACCUCCCCUUGCUCCGGUCCUUUUGGCCGUCGAUGAAUUCGAGGCUGCCUUCGAGCGGUUCGACGAGGACUCUGAGGCAAAGCAAAUCAUCGGCGGCGCGUGCGGGCAGGAGGCCCCGAGGCGCCACCGAAAUCGGCACAAUACAGGGAUGUGCGACCCCGACCGUGCGGCAAGUGGGCGGCCGAGAUCCGUGGUACCCUGUCAAGGGAGUUCGGGUCUGGCUCAGCACAUUUCCCUCCGCCGAGGCCAGCACACAUCGUGAUCACCACUUCCUCUCCAUUUGCCGAGGCUGGCGUGGCGGCGUCCGGCGGGCUGGGUCGGCGGCGAGAUAAUCUGGGGCGGGAGCGCGGCGACACGCCUAAUUCAACUCGACUGCUGCAUCUUGCAUCGCCGCGCUGUGCCUUCUCCAUUUUCAGGUGCGUCUUCAUCAGGUAAGUGUUGUCUGCUAGGUUGUCCAUUUCAUCAGUAUUUUUUCUUUUUGGUUCUAAUGUUGUUUGUCAUGCUGAUUCGUUCAUGUUGUUUUGUCUCCUAGGUCUUCUGUCACCAUGGAUCAACAGCGGUGUCGCCAAGAGAUUUGUGUGGAGAAUCUGCCUGUUCUAGCCUCUGGAAGUUUGUUUUAACCACUCAUGUGAAGCACCCAGUUGGAUAACCAAAAAAAGUCACGCAUCAGAUCGGAGCCGAGAACUUGAACUACCGCGACGACACCUUUAUAUUUUAUUGUGUGGCCUCCGGUAAUGUCCCAAAGAUGGAGGCGGCGAUGUGCCGGCUCAGGAGAAUAAGUGACCCCUAGUGUUAUUAUACUCAUCACCCCUCCACCGAUCCAUGAACCUGCGAGGAUCAUGUCCCAAAUAACCACCCUUACCUUGUAGAUAUCUGCUUUACUUAGCUUUACUAUUCAUGGAGAGUGCUCAGUUCUUUUGUCAUCAGAAUAGGAUCCACUAGAUAUAUGUAUUCUGAUUCCCCUGCUGGUUUCCUUUUGCUAAAUGACAGAGAUAUAUAAAAAGAAACAGUUCCUUUCUUCAAAUGAGGCGUGAAUAAAGCAUCCUUUAUCGAAAAAAAAUGAGCGUGAAUAGCUGAAGUAAUAUGUCUCCUGAAGAUAGUUCUGAAAGUGCAGAAGUCGAUGCUCAUCAUCGUCUUUUUCAAUUUAUGCUAACACCAGUUAAUCUCAUCAUAUUCCUAUUGUAAUUAUCAGGGGGAGAGAGGAGGACAAAAGAAUGACAACCUUUGAGGAGGAGGUGAUGUGUACGAUGUGCAGAAAAACGAAGAUUCAUGUCAGAGUCAGAGCCUGAGAGGUGCAUCAUGAGUUCAUCAUUCUCUCUAUCUUAUGUUGCUCCUGCCCGGCUCCUCAAGCAAUCAAUGCCAUAUCGUGACAUCCCUGCUCUAUUCUCCGGGGGAUUCAAUCGCAUGACCAUCUGGAUCGCAUUUGAUCCGUAAAUCUCAUGAAAGAAGAAUAGACUGCCUCUUUGACGACAUGGUGAGCCCCAGUGCUACCCCCUCCGCGUUGUGUUUGCUGAAGCUGUGGAGGUUCUUCGUCGUCCUUGACGGCACAACUCUUCUCCUCGACAUCAUGGUAUUGGCUCUUUUCUGCCAUGGCACUCCGUUGGCACUGAACAACACGAGGCAGUGGUGCCAAAAUAAUCGCUUGCGCCCGCGCUCAAGUCCCACUCCGCUGGAAAAGGCGUUUGCAUGUAACUACCAAGUAUUGCUCUGCUUUGGUAUUUGAUUGAUCAGUGUCCCUGGAUUUGCCGUUUAUGGUGGAUGUGAAAGGGCAAGUUACUCGAUGACUUGAUGGAGCCAAGUCACUGGAUCUAUACUCUAACUGCGGCAAUAAUUGUAAAUAUCAAUCAGUAGACGGUAUGUGGCGAGUGUUCUUUCAAAUAGUGGCAAUGCUUCUUUUCUUUUCCCCUUAAUUCAUAUGUAUAUAUAAAGUCAAUGGUUCAGUCUUUUGGGGUUUCUAUCUUCUUGCACCUAAUAGGAGUCUCCUGUCAAAAGAAAAGAGAAUACGGCUGUACAUUUAUAUUGCACUUUCGUUGUUGAUGUUGUGAUACACUGAAUACUGUGCAAACUUUGAGUUUUCAGAUAUCAGAGGAGAGGUUGAUUUUCCUGUGGCAA